rnacentral:rRNA from 1 species
CUGGAGGUAUCAGAAGUGCGAAUGCUGACAUAAGUAACGAUAAAGCGGGUGAAAAGCCCGCUCGCCGGAAGACCAAGGGUUCCUGUCCAACGUUAAUCGGGGCAGGGUGAGUCGACCCCUAAGGCGAGGCCGAAAGGCGUAGUCGAUGGGAAACGGGUUAAUAUUCCCGUACUUGGUGUUACUGCGAAGGGGGGACGGAGAAGGCUAUGUUGGCCGGGCGACGGUUGUCCCGGUUUAAGCGUGUAGGUGUGUGUUCCAGGUAAAUCCGGUUCACUUUAACACUGAGGCGUGACGACGAGGCACUACGGUGCUGAAGCAACAAAUGCCCUGCUUCCAGGAAAAGCCUCUAAGCAUCAGGUAACAUCAAAUCGUACCCCAAACCGACACAGGUGGUCAGGUAGAGAAUACCAAGGCGCUUGAGAGAACUCGGGUGAAGGAACUAGGCAAAAUGGUGCCGUAACUUCGGGAGAAGGCACGCUGACACGUAGGUGAAGUGAUUUACUCACGGAGCUGAAGUCAGUCGAA